AUGAACGCUGGCGGCGUGCCUAAUACAUGCAAGUCGAGCGAACAGAUGAGGAGCUUGCUCCUCUGACGUUAGCGGCGGACGGGUGAGUAACACGUGGAUAACCUACCUAUAAGACUGGGAUAACUACGGGAAACCGGAGCUAAUACCGGAUAAUAUAUUGAACCGCAUGGUUCAAUAGUGAAAGACGGUUUUGCUGUCACUUAUAGAUGGAUCCGCGCCGCAUUAGCUAGUUGGUAAGGUAACGGCUUACCAAGGCAACGAUGCGUAGCCGACCUGAGAGGGUGAUCGGCCACACUGGAACUGAGACACGGUCCAGACUCCUACGGGAGGCAGCAGUAGGGAAUCUUCCGCAAUGGGCGAAAGCCUGACGGAGCAACGCCGCGUGAGUGAUGAAGGUCUUCGGAUCGUAAAACUCUGUUAUUAGGGAAGAACAAAUGUGUAAGUAACUAUGUACGUCUUGACGGUACCUAAUCAGAAAGCCACGGCUAACUACGUG
rnacentral:rRNA from 1 species